rnacentral:rRNA from 1 species
UACGUGAGGGCGCAAGCGUUGUCCGGAAUUAUUGGGCGUAAAGAGCUCGUAGGCGGUUUGUCGCGUCGGAUGUGAAAGCCCGGGGCUUAACCCCGGGUCUGCAUUCGAUACGGGCAGACUAGAGUGUGGUAGGGGAGAUCGAAUUCCUGGUGUAGCGGUGAAAUGCGCAGAUAUCAGGAGGAACACCGGUGGCGAAGGCGGAUCUCUGGGCCAUUACUGACGCUGAGGAGCGAAAGCGUGGGGAGCGAACAGG